AUGUUUCUAUGGUUACUUAAGCAGAAACACAAGCAUCUUUUACAUUUGGCAUUUUUAUCUUCCAAGUUUUGGGUUGUUUUUUUAAAGAGUCAAUAUUCCCAGUGUUGGUGGUUCAAUUUUCAAGACAUCUGUAGUUCAUUUGUCAAGUUAGAUUCCUUAACUUCUCAGUUUAACGAGCACUGCCUCUCCAUCCUGGACAACAUCUGUCCUGUCAGAACCAGAUCAGUUCCUGCAGUGAACCCUACUCCCUGGUUUAAUGACAGCCUUCGCAGCCUGAAGCGCCAAUGCAGAAAAAUUGAGCGUUUGUGGAAGAAAACCCAUCUCCACGUCCAUCUGCUGCACCUAAAGGAUCUUCUGACAUCCUUUAACUCUGCAGUCAGAGACGCUAGGGUUUCCUAUUUCUCCAACCUGGUGUCCCAGAGCAAAGGGAACCCCAAGGUGCUGUUUAACACCAUCAGCAGCAUCGUCUCUCCUGCCUCUCCUACAGCCUCCAUCCACUCUGUUGCAGACUGUGAGAACUUUCUGUCUUUCUUUUUGGACAAAGUCAAUAAGGUUAGAUCUAGCAUCUCUCCUUCAGCCUUAUCGCUGCCUCUCCCGACUCCAACCAGGCCCAUCAUCCUAGAUAGCUUUGCUCCUGUUUCUUUGCCUGAGUUAACCAAACUAGUUAACUCUAUGAAGACCUCUGCAUGCCCCCUCGACAUCUUACCCUCAUCUUUGUUUAAAAGUGCUUUUCAGUCCAUCGGUCCCAGCGUGCUCUCUAUAAUUAAUGCUUCUCUGGUNAAAGGGAACCCCAAGGUGCUGUUUAACACCAUCAGCAGCAUCGUCUCUCCUGCCUCUCCUACAGCCUCCAUCCACUCUGUUACAGACUGUGAGAACUUUCUGUCUUUCUUUGUGGACAAAGUCAAUAAGGUUAGAUCUAGCAUCUCUCCUUCAGCCUUAUCGCUGCCUCUCCCGACUCCAACCAGGCCCAUCAUCCUAGAUAGCUUUGCUCCUGUUUCUUUGCCUGAGUUAACCAAACUAGUUAACUCUAUGAAGACCUCUGCAUGCCCCCUCGACAUCUUACCCUCAUCUUUGUUUAAAAGUGCUUUUCAGUCCAUCGGUCCCAGCGUGCUCUCUAUAAUUAAUGCUUCUCUGGCUUCUGGUCAGGUCCCUGCUUACUUUAAGGAUGCUGUAAUCCACCCGCUUCUUGAAAAACCGAGUCUCGACCCCUCUCUCCAUAGCAGCUUCAGACCCAUCUCUAAACUUCUGUUCAUCUCCAAGAUCUUGGAAAAGGUUGUGGCUUAA
rnacentral:lncRNA from 1 species